CUGUUUCGGGGCUGAAACGAUCUCAACCUAUCUCAAACUUUAAAUGGGUAAGAAGCCCGGCUCGCUGGCGUGGAGCCGGGCGUGGAAUGCGAGUGCCUAGUGGGCCACUUUUGGUAAGCAGAACUGGCGCUGCCCAGUGAA